AUUGAACGCUGGCGGCAGGCCUAACACAUGCAAGUCGAGCGGCAGCGGGAAAGUAGCUUGCUACUUUUGCCGGCGAGCGGCGGACGGGUGAGUAAUGCCUGGGAAAUUGCCCAGUCGAGGGGGAUAACAGUUGGAAACGACUGCUAAUACCGCAUACGCCCUACGGGGGAAAGCAGGGGACCUUCGGGCCUUGCGCGAUUGGAUAUGCCCAGGUGGGAUUAGCUAGUUGGGAAGGUAAUGGCUCACCAAGGCGACGAUCCCUAGCUGGUCUGAGAGGAUGAUCAGCCACACUGGAACUGAGACACGGUCCAGACUACUACGGGAGGCAGCAGUGGGGAAUAUUGCACAAUGGGGGAAACCCUGAUGCAGCCAUGCCGCGUGUGUGAAGAAGGCCUUCGGGUUGUAAAGCACUUUCAGCGAGGAGGAAAGGUUGAUGCCUAAUACGUAUCAACUGUGACGUUACUCGCAGAAGAAGCACCGGCUAACUCCGUGCCAGCAGCCGCGGUAA
rnacentral:rRNA from 1 species